ensembl:lncRNA
CCCACCCCCACGCACAGGCACACAGAGAUGUGGAAUCAGCACUAUCAAUUUCCCAGUGAUGGCACAGAGGUUUUAUUUUUAAGUUUCUCUCUUCAUUAUAAUUACUAUCUGCAUUUCUGAUUGCUUUUUCUGCUUUUGCCCAAUCCUUGCUGGAAUCCUGUUGGUCAAAAGUAAUGUAGAUCUAUUAAAUCAGUUGUUGGAUCGAGAGUCCACACAUACAUUAGUCCAAUUGAUUCAAUAGCUCUUGUGUCUGCUGCUUACCUUCAAGUUGUUUUCUGACUUAUCACAGAGGUGUCUGGGUUGAGAGUGUGUAGCUUGCCCUGGUCAUCCAGUGGGUCAUGAUAACCAAGCAGGGAUUUGAACCCUGGUCUCAAGAGUCGUGGUUCCACACCCAAACCAUUAGAGUGUAGCCAAAAUUAACAAUAGGAUUUUGGCCGCAUCUACCAUUACUAUCCUGUGUGUAAGGCAUCAAUGUUCAGUGUAUGCAAGCUAUAAUAGAAGACACAAUUCCAGGUGUGUCUGGCCAGUCCUGAUCAUACACAAAUGUUCACUGGAACUUAUGAAGGUUGAAGGCAGUAGCAAGAUCUUAGCAAUUCCAAAAUCCAUCACAAGAAGCCAGCAACCAUGAUAACCCAAGCCAAGGGGGAAAGAUAACAAGACACAAGGAGAUCCAGAGGUCAAGUACUUACUAUAAAUCCAUGAGCAUCAAGAGUGUGAAAGGCCUGGUGGAAUUAACCAUUGUGAACCACCAGAACUACCACUGGCUACUGAGAGAAUUAUACUAGCUGGUCUUGAGAUGCUAGAACUUAGUAGGUAAAAGGUAAAGGUUUUCCCCGAUGUUAAGUCCAGUCGUGACCGACUCUGGGGGUUAGUGCUCAUCUCCAUUUCUAAGCUGAAGAGCCAGCGUUGUCUGUAGACACCUCCAAGGUCAUGUGGCCAGCAUGACUGCAUGGAGCGCCGUUACUUGCGGACCAAAAGGUCCCAGGUUCAAAUCCCGGGAGUGGAAUGAGCGCCCGCUGUUAGCUCCAGCUCCUGCCAACCUAGCAGUUCGAAAACAUGCAAAUGUGAGUAGAUCAAUAGGUACUGCUCCGGCGGGAAGGUAAUGGCGCUCCAUGCAGUCAUGCCAGCCACAUGACCUGGAGAUGUCUAUGGACAACGCCAGCUCUUCAGCUUAGAAAUGAAGAUGAGCACCAACCCCAGAGUCGGUCACGACUCGACUUAACAUCAGGGGAAAGCUUUACCUUUACCUUUACCUUGAGUUAUUGACCCAUGUAACAACUGAAAUCAUCUGAAACUUUGCCUCUGGAUUCCUUUCAUUUCCCUAUGGACACUUAUUACUCAUAGUCAUAGUACAGUGGAAUUUAGCAGCUUUGACAGUUUCUGUAAAGCUGUCACAUUCAGAGGGAUGGACUUCUCCACUGACAUGGAGGCCCCCAGAUGCUACUGCUAGCUGCUUCCUGGUGUUCCUUCCUCUAUCUUUCAUUACGGUUCGAGAACCUCUGUAAAAUGUUGACAUAUCAUCCUUCUGUAAUUCCGCACCCUAUCCUUAGACUAGGAGGUUAAAGCCUGGUUUUAGGAGCCCUGUCAUGGGAUGACUUCAUAAACGCAACACCUAAAUUACUGACGUCUUAAAUUACCUGCUUCAAUAGAUGGGGUUCAAAAUACAAUGGAUAAAG